GUGCUCACUUCAGCGGCACAUAUACUGAAAUCGGAAUGAUACAGAGAUUAGCAUGGCCCCUGCCUAAGGAUGACAUGCGAAUUUGUGAAGAGUUCCAUCUUUUU